rnacentral:rRNA from 1 species
CGGCGUGCUUAACACAUGCAAGUCGAACGGAGUUUUAACGGAAGUUUCGGAUGGAAGUUUAGAAACUUAGUGGCGGACGGGUGAGUAACGCGUGGGUAACCUGCCUCAUACAGGGGGGAUAACAGUUAGAAAUGACUGCUAACACCGCAUAAUAUAGCGAAACCGCAUGAUUUUUGCUAUCAAAUAUUUAUAGGUAUGAGAUGGGCCCGCGUCUGAUUAGCUAGUUGGUGGGGUAAAGCCUACCAAGGCGACGAUCAGUAGCCGGCUUGAGAGAGUGACCGGCCACAUUGGGACUGAGACACGGCCCAAACUCCUACGGGAGGCAGCAGUGGGGAAUAUUGGACAAUGGGGGAAACCCUGAUCCAGCGAACCGCCGCGUGAGUGAAGAAGUAUUUCGGUAUGUAAAGCUCUAUCAGCAGGGAAGAUAAUGACAGUACCUGACUAAGAAGCCCCGGCUAACUACGUGCCAGCCGCAGC